GUUGUGCUAAUACCGCAUACGCCCUGAGGGGGAAAGUGGGGGAUCGCAAGACCUCACGUUAUUCGAGCGGCCGACGUCUGAUUAGCUAGUUGGUGGGGUAAUGGCUCACCAAGGCGACGAUCAGUAGCGGGUCUGAGAGGAUGAUCCGCCACACUGGGACUGAGACACGGCCCAGACUCCUGCGGGAGGCAGCAGUGGGGAAUUUUGGACAAUGGGGGCAACCCUGAUCCAGCCAUUCCGCGUGAGUGAAGAAGGCCUUCGGGUUGUAAAGCUCUUUCAGCAGGAACGAAACGGUAGGGGCUAAUACCCUCUGCUAAUGACGGUACCUGCAGAAGAAGCACCGGCUAACUACGUGCCAGCAGCCGCGGUAAUACGUAGGGUGCGAGCGUUAAUCGGAAUUACUGGGCGUAAAGCGUGCGCAGGCGGAUUGUUAAGCAAGACGUGAAAUCCCCGGGCUUAACCUGGGAACGGCGUUCUGAACUGGCAGUCUAGAGUGUGUCAGAGGGGGGUGGAAUUCCACGUGUAGCAGUGAAAUGCGUAGAGACGUGGAGGAACACCAAUGGCGAAGGCAGCCCCCUGGGAUAACACUGACGCUCAUGUACGAAAGCGUGGGUAGCAAACAGGAUUAGAUACCCUGGUAGUCCACGCCCUAAACGAUGUCAACUGGUUGUUGGGGGAGUGAAAUCCCUUAGUAACGAAGCUAACGCGUGAAGUUGACCGCCUGGGGAGUACGGUCGCAAGAUUAAAACUCAAAGGAAUUGACGGGGACCCGCACAAGCGGUGGAUGAUGUGGAUUAAUUCGAUGCAACGCGAAAAACCUUACCUACCCUUGACAUGUCCAGAAUCCUGCAGAGAUGCGGGAGUGCCCGAAAGGGAAUUGGAACACAGGUGCUGCAUGGCUGUCGUCAGCUCGUGUCGUGAGAUGUUGGGUUAAGUCCCGCAACGAGCGCAACCCUUAUCAUUAGUUGCUACGCAAGGGCACUCUAAUGAGACUGCCGGUGACAAACCGGAGGAAGGUGGGGAUGACGUCAAGUCCUCAUGGCCCUUAUGGGUAGGGUUUCACACGUCAUACAAUGGUCGGUACAGAGGGUUGCCAAGCCGCGAGGUGGAGCCAAUCCCAGAAAGCCGAUCGUAGUCCGGAUUGUUCUCUGCAACUCGAGAGCAUGAAGUCGGAAUCGCUAGUAAUCGCGGAUCAGCAUGUCGCGGUGAAUACGUUCCCGGGUCUUGUACACACCGCCCGUCACACCAUGGGAGUGGAAUCUGCCAGAAGUAGGUAGCCUAACCGCAAGGAGGGCGCUUACCACGGUGGGUUUCAUGACU
rnacentral:rRNA from 1 species